rnacentral:rRNA from 1 species
UACGUAGGGGGCAAGCGUUGUCCGGAUUUAUUGGGCGUAAAGAGCGUGUAGGCGGCCAAACAGGUCAGGUGUGAAAACUCGAGGCUCAACCUCGAGACGUCGGUUGAAACCGUUUGGCUAGAGUCCGGAAGAGGAGAGUGGAAUUCCCGGUGUAGCGGUGAAAUGCGCAGAUAUCGAGAGGAACACCUGCGGCGAAGGCGGGUAGCUGGGCCGACACUGACGCUGAGGCGCGAAAGCCAGGGGAGCGAACGGG